UGGGGGAUAUUGCACAAUGGGCGAAAGCCUGAUGCAGCGACGCCGCGUGGGGGAUGAAGGCCUUCGGGUUGUAAACUUCUUUUGCUCUGAACAAGGCGCACCAUGGGGUGUGUUGAGUGUAGGGGUUGAUUAGCGCCGGCUAACUACGUGCCAGCAGCCGCGGUAAUACGUAGGGCGCGAGCGUUGCCCGGAAUUAUUGGGCGUAAAGGGCUUGUAGGUGGCUGGUUGCGUCUGUCGUGAAAGCUCAUGGCUUAACUGUGGGUUUGCGGUGGGUACGGGCUGGCUUGAGUGCAGUAGGUGAGGCUGGAAUUCCUGGUGUAGCGGUGGAAUGCGCAGAUAUCAGGAGGAAUACCGGUGGCGAAGGCGGGUCUCUGGGCUGUUACUGACACUGAGGAGCGAAAGCAUGGGGAGCGAACAGG
rnacentral:rRNA from 1 species